rnacentral:rRNA from 1 species
ACGAACGCUGGCGGCGUGCUUAACACGUGCAAGUCGAACGGAAAGACCCUGCUUUUGUGGGGUGCUCGAGUGGCGAACGGGUGAGUAACACGUGAGUAACCUGCCCUUGACUUUGGGAUAACUUCAGGAAACUGGGGCUAAUACCGGAUAGGAGCUCCUGCUGCAUGGUGGGGGUUGGAAAGUUUCGGCGGUUGGGGAUGGACUCGCGGCUUAUCAGCUUGUUGGUGGGGUAGUGGCUUACCAAGGCUUUGACGGGUAGCCGGCCUGAGAGGGUGACCGGCCACAUUGGGACUGAGAUACGGCCCAGACUCCUACGGGAGGCAGCAGUGGGGAAUAUUGCACAAUGGGCGGAAGCCUGAUGCAGCAACGCCGCGUGCGGGAUGACGGCCUUCGGGUUGUAAACCGCUUUCGCCUGUGACGAAGCGUGAGUGACGGUAAUGGGUAAAGAAGCACCGGCUAACUACGUG